rnacentral:rRNA from 1 species
GACGAACGCUGGCGGCACGCUUAACACAUGCAAGUCGAACGGAGUUGAGGAGGUGCUUGCACCAUCUCAACUUAGUGGCGGACGGGUGAGUAACACGUGAGCAACCUGCCUUUGAGAGUGGAAUAGCUUCUGGAAACGGAUGGUAAUACCGCAUGAAAUUAUCUGACCGCAUGAUCGGAUAAUCAAAGAUUUAUCGCUCAAAGAUGGGCUCGCGUCUGAUUAGAUAGUUGGUGGGGUAACGGCCUACCAAGUCGACGAUCAGUAGCCGGACUGAGAGGUUGAACGGCCACAUUGGGACUGAGACACGGCCCAGACUCCUACGGGAGGCAGCAGUGGGGAAUAUUGCACAAUGGGCGGAAGCCUGAUGCAGCGAUGCCGCGUGGAGGAAGAAGGUUUUCGGAUUGUAAACUCCUGAUCUGAGGGACGAUACAUGACGGAC